GAUGAACGCUGGCGGCGUGCUUAACACAUGCAAGUCGAACGGUGAAGCAGGAGCUUGCUCUUGUGGAUCAGUGGCGAACGGGUGAGUAACACGUGAGCAACCUGCCCCUGACUCUGGGAUAAGCGCUGGAAACGGCGUCUAAUACUGGAUAUGUGAUGUGACCGCAUGGUCUGCAUCUGGAAAGAAUUUCGGUUGGGGAUGGGCCCGCAGCCUAUCAGCUGGUUGGUGAGGUAAUAGCUCACCAAGGCGUCGACGGGUAGCCGGCCUGAGAGGGUGACCGGCCACACUGGGACUGAGACACGGCCCAGACUCCUACGGGAGGCAGCAGUGGGGGAUAUUGCACAAUGGGCGGAAGCCUGAUGCAGCAACGCCGCGUGAGGGAUGACGGCCUUCGGGUUGUAAACCUCUUUUAGCAGGGAAGAAGCGAAAGUGACGGUACCUGCAGAAAAAGCACCGGCUAACUACGUGCCAGCCGCCGCCGUAA
rnacentral:rRNA from 1 species